GCUGUGUGAGGUCAGACCUAUC
rnacentral:miRNA from 4 species